rnacentral:rRNA from 1 species
AUUGAACGCUGGCGGCAGGCCUAACACAUGUAAGUCGAGCGGAUGAAGGGAGCUUGCUCCUGGAUUCAGCGGCGGACGGGUGAGUAAUGCCUAGGAAUCUGCCUGGUAGUGGGGGAUAACGUCCGGAAACGGGCGCUAAUACCGCAUACGUCCUGAGGGAGAAAGUGGGGGAUCUUCGGACCUCACGCUAUCAGAUGGGCCUAGGUCGGAUUAGCUAGUUGGUGGGGUAAAGGCCUACCAAGGCGACGAUCCGUAACUGGUCUGAGAGGAUGAUCAGUCACACUGGAACUGAGACACGGUCCAGACUCCUACGGGAGGCAGCAGUGGGGAAUAUUGGGCAAUGGGCGAAAGCCUGAUCCAGCCAUGCCGCGUGUGUGAAGAAGGUCUUCGGAUUGUAAAGCACUUUAAGUUGGGAGGAAGGGCAGUAAGUUAAUACCUUGCUGUUUUGACGUUACCAACAGAAUAAGCACCGGCUAACUUCGUG